GACGUAGGGCGCGAGCGUUGUCCGGAUUUAUUGGGCGUAAAGAGCUCGUAGGCGGCUUGUCGCGUCGUCCGUGAAAACCUGGGGCUCAACCCCAGGCUUGCGGUCGAUACGGGCAGGCUCGAGUUCGGUAGGGGAGACUGGAAUACCUGGUGUAGCGGUGAAAUGCGCAGAUAUCAGGAGGAACACCGGUGGCGAAGGCGGGUCUCUGGGCCGAUACUGACGCUGAGGAGCGAAAGCGUGGGGAGCAAACAGG
rnacentral:rRNA from 1 species